CCAAUUCUGAAACACUAUUUCAUAUAUGAUCACUGACGUUAAGCAACGUCAAGCCUGGUCAGUACCUAGAUGGGUGACUGCUUGGGAAUAACAGGUGCUGUAA
rnacentral:rRNA from 1 species